CCUACGGGUGGCAGCAGUGGGGAAUAUUGCACAAUGGGAGAAACCCUGAUGCAGCGACGCCGCGUGAGUGAAGAAGUAUUUCGUUACGUAAAGCUCUAUCAGCAGGGAAGAAAAUGACGGUACCUGAGUAAGAAGCCCUGGCUAACUACGUGCCAGCAGCCGCGGUCAUACGUAGGGGGCAAGCGUUAUCCGGUUUUAGUGGGUGUAAAGGGAGCGUAGACGGUUCGCCAAGUCUGGAGUGAAAUGCCGCGGCUUAACUGCGGAACUGCAUUGGAAACUGGCGAACUAGAGUGCGGGAGUGGUAAGCGGAAUUCCAAGUGUAGCGGUGAAAUGCGUAGAUAUUAGGAGGAACACCAGUGGCGAAGGCGGCUUACUGGACCGUAACUGACGUUGAGGCUCGAAAGCGUGGGGAGCAAACAGGAUUAGAUACCCGGGUAGUC
rnacentral:rRNA from 1 species